rnacentral:rRNA from 1 species
UACGAAGGGGGCUAGCGUUGCUCGGAAUCACUGGGCGUAAAGCGCACGUAGGCGGACUCUUAAGUCGGUGGUGAAAUCCUGGAGCUCAACUCCAGAACUGCCUUCGAUACUGAGAGUCUCGAGUCCGAGAGAGGUGAGUGGAACUGCGAGUGUAGAGGUGAAAUUCGUAGAUAUUCGCAAGAACACCAGUGGCGAAGGCGGCUCACUGGCUCGGUACUGACGCUGAGAUGCGAAAGCGUGGGGAGCAAACAGG